UCUGCCAGCAUCUAGCACAUCAAUAGCAGCCUUCCCCUUAUCACAUUUGUCAACCAUAGCCUCAUUGUUAUCAAUAGGUUCAUUGAUAGCUGUAACAUUUCCUUCUUGAAUGUCAGAGCCUAUCAGUGUAUUCUGUUGAAUAAUAUUCAUACAAGAAGUACUAUUCCCUAGCUGCGUAUUCUCCUUGUUAUGCUCUGGUUGAACUGGUAAGCUUAACAUUGUAUCUGUACUAGUUUUAGGAAGCCAUUCUUGUUUAGUAACUUUAGCCUGCUU
rnacentral:lncRNA from 1 species